AUGAAGGACAACAGUUUGCCACGUAUUGUGGUCAUUAUUUUGUGUACGGUGGUUUUUAUUGCCGUUUUAGUGGUUAACGCAUUGGCUGGAGCGGGAAAAGGUCCUUUCCACUCUACUACUGGCAAUGUGUCAGCGCGCUAUGAGACCGAUAUCACUCCAGCUGGCUGGACCUUCUCUAUCUGGGGUGUUAUCUAUACCUGGCUCACCCUGAUGGUGAUAUACAUCACUUCAUAUGUGUUCAGAGGGUCCUGGGCUCAGUGUCUGAUGCCGUACACCUUCUACUUGUGCUGGCUGUCCAACAUGGUGAUGAACAUCAUAUGGCUGCUGCUGUGGGAUAGAGAGUCGAUGCUAGCAGCUCUGGUUGUGUUAAUCCUGAUGACCAUUUCCAACUACAUUGCUUUGUUCUUCUGUUGCUUUGCCACUGAUUACUAUGGACUCUGGUUACAGACAUACCAUAGGAAAGACCUGUACUGUCUACGAAUACUGGUCCAGAAUGGUUUGGCUCUCUACACCACAUGGAUUUCCAUUGCUUCUCUGAUCAACUUCUCAUUGGUGCUUCACCUGUGGGGUGUGGCCAGGAGCACAGCAGCAACAGCUUCUCUGUGCAUCUUGUUUGCAGAGGUGGUGGGAUGGUUCCUGCUUGAGAACUGGGUGCUGGACCGCUGGGUGCGUAACAUCCUCACCGUGUACCCCGUGGUGAUCGUGGCUCUGGUUGGAAACGUCUUCAAACAUUUUAACCCUGCGGAUCCCACCCCAAAUUCAGUGUUUGUCGUGGUACUGCUGGUGUUGGCGUGCGUCCUGCUGGUUUUCCGACUCUGCACCGUCAUCUGGAGGAAUGAAAUGAGGCCUCUCCACUCCCCGGGCUCAGCGCGGCUGAUGGUUUCACCCCUCGAUGGCAGAAAAUUCAUUAUUUUUACUUAAACAGAAGCCUUUUUGUAUUUGUUUUCCACUGCAGUAUUUAAACUGCAGAGCUGCACUUAUUAAACAUGUUUAAGUUUUCAGGAAGGAAACCUCCUCUUCACUCCUCUUGUCCCUCAACUGCAAUCAAAACAAUGGGACAAUUACUCUGAAACACUAAUUAUCUACUACCAGUGUUAACCAUUACUGACCAUUAAUAUUGCCUGUAGCUGAUGUACUUUUUACCAAAAUGAAUGCAUGUCGUUUCAGUAUGUUUUGUAAAGCUGUUACAAAAAACUUAAAGCAGUUUUAUUUGAUUUCAUUCAUUUAUGUUGAAUUAAAGCAUUGUCUUUUGUCUGAGUUGUUGAAACUAUCUUUAUAAACUGCAGAGAAAAACAUUUGGCUGACACGCACAGUACGAGAUAUUCUUUUCCCUUCUGUUUUAUAAACGCGUAACAUUAAUCUCCCAGUAGCUGGCUAACCAGCCGCAGGCAGAUUGAUCCCGCUGAUGUGUGUGGCUUUGUUCUCAUAUAACCGUUGUUGCCAUAUAACUGUCUCUAUGAAGGCAACUCAAUGUCAAAGUCCGAGAGCAAAUCAGGUCUAAAUCAAACAUUUGCAAGCAAAAGUCCCUCUUUCACGAGAAAAGGUCCUUUCGGGGACAUGGAACCUCUACAUCUGAUUGGUUACAAACGUCGUCUUUGGAUUGGCUGGAUGUCAUCUCUGUUGAGAGGGAUGCAUUCCCAACUAUAGAAACCCAUUUCCACUCUUCAUAGAGUGGGGAUCUGUCCAAUUCUUUUUUUCCCCUAUAUUAUUCUAACUUUGUAAAUGUUUUCAACUGCACCACAUUGUUCUGUGUAGGCUUGCUAUUGUUUUUUACAUCAAAAGUAAAUAAAUAAAUAAUCAACCUGGAUAUUUACUGGUUGCCCGCGAGCUGGCGAUGCAAACGGCCUUACCGUUAACUAUGGGAAUAAAUGUAACCUUUACUUGUUUUCUUAUGUCUAUGGUUUAUUGAAGAUUUCUUUAUCUACAUAUUUAAUUCAAUUUGCCUCAGAGGGCUUUACAGUCUGUACACAUGCGACAUCCUCUGUCCCAAAACCCUCACAUCGGCACAGGAGAAACUCCCCCAAAAAUGAAAAACCCUUCCAUUGGGAAAAAAGGGAAGAAACUGUAGGCAAUGUAGUAGUGUGCUACUGUGUGCUACACAUAUUUACUCUGAUGUUAUACAACAUUUCUAUUGUUAUUAGACCAGCAGAGAUUAUUCAACACAUUCAUUAUCAAUUCUCAUUUCAAAGCAAAAAUAUCCUAAAUGUUUUUCUGGACCUUCCUUUAUUAAAUAUGGUUACGAUGAUGACGGAUCAGAUGUAUCAUCAAGCCAAACAUUCUUUCUUUCUAUAUUUUCCUGUUACAUGAUGUUCCGUUUUCUCCCCACGGAAAGGGCAACCCGGCACACAUAGGA
ensembl:lncRNA